ensembl:lncRNA
CAGGCUGCUGGUCUGACCUCCUCCUGCUGCGGGCUCCAGUGACCUAGGCAGGGGAGCCAACGAGUCCCACCACAAGCCUUUUCAGGAACUGCCCGGGCCCUGGCCGGCCGAGCCCCCCAGAACCGCACAGGCCGCACUGAGGGAGGGCAAGGAUGGCACGCGCAUGGUACCCUUGGGGACUGGUGCGUGAGCAGGUUUUCUCGGCUGUGAUUUGGACAAUGUUUUUUCCCUUCCAAACAACCACUCUGGAAAAAGGGACUCUAACUUUGAACGAGCUGGCUUCGAUUGUUCCACUUCUUUCCACAAACAGCACCCCCUUCUCACUCCGCCCCCCAAUGCCCUCGCCCAGCAUUUCUAAUCCAGCGAUGCCUG